rnacentral:rRNA from 1 species
UACGUAGGGUGCGAGCGUUGUCCGGAAUUAUUGGGCGUAAAGAGCUUGUAGGCGGUUUGUCGCGUCUGCCGUGAAAAUCCGGGGCUCAACCCCGGACUUGCGGUGGGUACGGGCAGACUAGAGUGUGGUAGGGGAGACUGGAAUUCCUGGUGUAGCGGUGAAAUGCGCAGAUAUCAGGAGGAACACCCGUGGCGAAAGCGGCUCUCUGGGACGGUACUGACGCUGAGACGCGAAAGCGUGGGGAGCAAACAGG